UACGUAGGCGGAAGAUUAAGUCAGUGGUGAAAUCCUGCAGCUUAACUGUAGAACCGUCAUUGAUACUGGUUUUCUUGAAUUUAGUUGAGGUAGGCGGAAUGUGUAAUGUAGCGGUGAAAUGCUUAGAUAUUACACAGAACACCGAUUGCGAAGGCAGCUUACUAAACUAUGAUUGACGCUGAGGUACGAAAGCGUGGGGAGCGAACAGGAUUAGAUACCCUGGUAGUCC
rnacentral:rRNA from 1 species